rnacentral:tRNA from 1 species
GAAGAUGUGGCUCAAUAGUAGAGCAUUUGUCUGCCUAGUAUGUAUGAGGCCCUGGGUUCAAUCCCCAGCAUCACCA